ACACAUGUCCUCUGUAAACAAAACUCAGCGUUUCAGUAAGGCGCCAUCUUAAACUCUGCGUUUCAUGGACAGCGAGACCAGCCGCAAAUUUUUUUAGGGUUUGGUGUUUCUUCCACAAUGAAUCGAAGGCGGUGUCUAUAUUCCUCUAAAAUGGCUAAUUAAUCAAUCCUUUUUCUGAAUAGAAGUCAACCCUAUGUUUUUCAACCGUGGAGGUGAGAUUGGCAGAAACGUCAAACGCGGCGGAAAGACUUUCCGUCACCUGCUGAUUCGGAAAUCAAGUGAUUGAAUCAUGAGCAGGGAGAGAUGGGUUUGGGUUUGAUCUUGGACUCGACUAAGGAUGAUGAACCAGAUCCAUAUACUCGCGGAUAUGGUGGUUGCUUAGUCCCGGACCCGAUAUUCUUCUUUUUAAAGAUCACUUUCGCUUGAAUUUUAUUUGUUUAUGUCCUCAACUUCUGCAUUUUUUAAUGUUUUGUUUCAUGUACUCUUCAGUCUCUUCGUUAUGUAGCUAAGUACUGGUGUUCUCUUUACAUCUUUUUGCUUUCAGGAAGUGAAUAGAGAAAUCAUUUGAUGAAUGGUUCCUAAAGGUAUUAUUUUUGUUGUUGUGUUAUUGCAGUUGCUUUGUCGAUGACAAAGAAGAAAAGAAGGGAGGGAGCAGAAGGAGAGUAUUGUUAAUGGUAUCAGAGAGACUGUCAAAAACUCUGUCCCUGUUUCUCUUUUGAAAACAUGAAAAAUAUCAAAUUCAAGGAGUUUAGACAACAGUUUAGACACAACGGAAGGUUUUUCCUCGGCUAGAACAAAUUGAUGCAGUUUGCUCUUGGUCCUUCUGCUUGAGAUGAAAUCCAUCAUGCCAUAUUUAAAGCUUCCAAGGUUGUCUUCUUUAUGGUUAUGAUGAACUGCUUAUUACAGAUAUGCCAACAGAAGAGGUUAAAAGGUAUCAUAACUCUCUCGGAGACCUUUUUUUCCAUUUUGCUUUGGUGAAACCAACUAUGAAAGGCUUAAACUAUAUCUAUCUCUCCUGAUCAUCUCAGACAAGGGACUUCCAGGUAAGAAGAGUCUAUACAUAAGGCUAGGUUGCCGUGGUGAUUUGCCCAAUAUACAACCGCCGGGAUGGGAUCCGUCGUCUGACACCGGAGCUCAUCCAAGCUUCUCAUAAAGUAUUCUUUAAACAAUGCUCUUCUUUUUUCUCUUCUAUUAAAAAAACCAGCAACAAGCGUUGUAAAGAAUUAUCACUUUCAUGACAUUGAUAAUUUCUAUAGAAGACGCAUAUUUGAUGAUUUAA